rnacentral:rRNA from 1 species
UAGGAUUCCCUUAGUAGCGGCGAGCGAACAGGGAAGAGCCCAGCACCGAAUCCCGCGUCCGGAGACGGGCGCCGGGAAAUGUGGUGUUAGGGAGGGUCCGUCUAUCUCGAGACGGUGCGGCGAGUCCAAGUCCUUCUUGAACGGGGCCACUUACCCGCAGAGGGUGCCAGGCCCGUAGCGACCGUCGCCCGUCACGAGAGGACCUCUCCUCAGAGUCGGGUUGCUUGAGAGUGCAGCCCUAAGCGGGUGGUAAACUCCAUCUAAGGCUAAAUAUGACCACGAGACCGAUAGCGAACAAGUACCGUGAGGGAAAGUUGAAAAGAACUUUGAAGAGAGARUUCAAGAGUACGUGAAACCGUUCAGGGGUAAACCUGAGAAACCCGAAAGGUCGACGGGGGAGAUUCAACCGCGUCUCGGACGACGGAAGGCGGGGCAGACGUGACGGAGGGGGCGCGUUCGCGCGAUCCGUUCCGCUCGUUUCUUUGCCGACCGUUACCGAAUGCGUGCACUUCUCCCCCUGUAGGACGUCGCGACCCGUUGGGUGUCGGCCUAAGGCACGCGGUGGAGCCCGUGCGGACGGUUUUCCGAUCCGUGCGGACCCGCGUUCGCCCGGCCGGCUCGCUCGACGGUAUGCUGAAGAGGCGCGGGGCCGCGACACGUUCGCGUCCGGCCCGCCGCAAGUGCGGACGGUAACCCGGCUGUCGGACCUAGUGCCGGCACCGGAUCCGCCCGGCUGUUGGCGGCGGUGUCCUCGGACCGGCUCCGAACGCGCCCGUCGGCGACGCUAUCGCUUUGGGUACUUUCAGGACCCGUCUUGAAACACGGACCAAGGAGUCUAGCAUGUGCGCGAGUCAUUGGUACUCGCUAAAACCAGAGGCGAAAUGAAAGUGAAGGCCCGCCUCGCGCGGGCCAAGGGAAGAUGGGUCGCACCGCGGUGCGGCCCCGCACUCCCGGGGCGUCUCGUUCUCAUCGCGAGAUGAGGCGCACCAAGAGCGUACACGCUGGGACCCGAAAGAUGGUGAACUAUGCCUGGUCAGGACGAAGUCAGGGGAAACCCUGAUGGAGGUCCGUAGCGAUUCUGACGUGCAAAUCGAUCGUCGGAACUGGGUAUAGGGGCGAAAGACUAAUCGAACCAUCUAGUAGCUGGUUCCCUCCGAAGUUUCCCUCAGGAUAGCUGGCGCUCGCUUAGCGAGUCUCAUCCGGUAAAGCGAAUGAUUAGAGGCAUUGGGGUCGAAACGGCCUCAACCUAUUCUCAAACUUUAAAUGGGUGAGAUCUCCGGCUUGCUCGAACGUAAUGAAGCCGCGAGUAUCUCUUUUUAUUAAGUAACAGGAUCAGAGUGCCAAGUGGGCCAUUUUUG